GACGAACGCUGGCGGCGUGCUUAACACAUGCAAGUCGAACGAAGAGCGAUGGAAGCUUGCUUCUAUCAAUCUUAGUGGCGAACGGGUGAGUAACGCGUAAUCAACCUGCCCUUCAGAGGGGGACAACAGUUGGAAACGACUGCUAAUACCGCAUACGAUCUAAUCUCGGCAUCGAGGAUAGAUGAAAGGUGGCCUCUACAUGUAAGCUAUCACUGAAGGAGGGGAUUGCGUCUGAUUAGCCAGUUGGAGGGGUAACGGCCCACCAAGGCGAUGAUCAGUAGCCGGUCUGAGAGGAUGAACGGCCACAUUGGGACUGAGACACGGCCCAGACUCCUACGGGGGGCAGCAGUGGGGAAUCUUCCGCAAUGGACGAAAGGCUGACGGAGCAACGCCGCGUGAGUGAUGACGGCCUUCGGGUUGUAAAGCUCGGUUAAUCGGGACGAAAGGCCUUCUUGCGAAUAGUGAGAAGGAUUGACGGUACCGGAAUAGAAAGCCACGGCUAACUACGUG
rnacentral:rRNA from 1 species